rnacentral:rRNA from 1 species
UGGGGAAUCUUGCACAAUGGGGGAAACCCUGAUGCAGCGACGCCGCGUGAACGAUGAAGCCCUUCGGGGUGUAAAGUUCUUUCGACGGGAACGAUAAUGACGGUACCCGGAGAAGAAGCUGCGGCUAACUACGUGCCAGCAGCCGCGGUAAUACGUAGGCAGCGAGCGUUGUUCGGAGUUACUGGGCGUAAAGAGUGCGUAGGCGGUCAGCCAAGUUUGGUGUGAAAUCUCCCGGCUCAACCGGGAGGGUGCGCCGAAAACUGGUUGGCUUGAGUAUGGGAGAGGAAGGCGGAAUUCCUGGUGUAGCGGUGAAAUGCGUAGAUAUCAGGAGGAACACCUGUGGUGUAGACAGCUUUCUGGACCAUCACUGACGCUGAGGCACGAAAGCGUGGGUAGCAAACA